rnacentral:tRNA from 2 species
GGCCGGAUGGCGAAGUGGUAACGCGGUGGUCUGCAAAACCUCUAUGCGCGGGUUCAAUUCCCGCUCCGGCCU